AUUGAACGCUAGCGGGAUGCCUUACACAUGCAAGUCGAACGGAGUGGCGAACGGGUGAGUAAUGUAUCGGAACGUGCACAGUAGCGGGGGAUAAAUACGCGAAAGCGUAGCUAAUACCGCAUAAUAUUUGAGCCGCCGAUAUCGGAUUAGCGAGUUGUGGGGGAAACGGCUCACCAAGGCGAAGAUCCAUAGCUGGUUUGAGAGGACGACCAGCCACACUGGGACUGAGACACGGCCCAGACUCCUACGGUAGGCAGCAGUGGGGAAUUUUGGACAAUGGGUGAAACCCUGAUCCAGCCAUCCCGCGUGUGAGAUGACGGCCUUCGGGUUGUAAAGCACUUUUGGCAGGAAAGCGGUACCUGCAGAAUAAGCACCGGCUAACUACGUGCCAGCAGCCGCGGUAAUUC
rnacentral:rRNA from 1 species